GCAAGCUGCCACCAUGGCUGCCAAGCCCUGUCACCCUUGCUGAUCAGUACAGAGAGGGGCUCGCUGCGCUGGGUAGAGGAAGCAGGAAGUUUGCUGAACUCAGACGGAAGAAAAAGGAUUCCUCUGGAGAAUCCCAGCAGGUUUCUGAUUGGACAUGGGUCCAUGUCCUUGUGAAGUCUCCUCCUCCUGAACCUGCCCUGCUCUGUGACUUGCUUUUGACCACCAGCAUGCUGCAGAAGUGAUGCCGUGUGACUUCUGAGUGGGUCAUAGGAAGCCUUGCAGUGUGGCCUGGGUCUUCAGGAAUGCUUGUUUGAGGAAAACCACUGUCAUGUAAGAAGUAUGGCUACCCUGAGACUGUCAUGGUGUGAGGACUCCUAAAUGAGUCACAUGUGGAUGGCCACCUAUUCAGGCCUCAGUUCUUCCAGCCAUUGCGACUGUGGCCCACGCAUGUGGGGGAAGAGGCCAUUUUUCACGCCCAUCCCAGUUGAGUCUUUAGAUGAUCCCUUCCUGGGCCUCCAGCUGACUGUAACCAGACUCCAGGCAGGAACCACAUAGGAACUGAACCCAGUCAACCCACAGGCUGGGGAGGAUGAUAGUCCAUUGUUGUAUAAAGCCACUGCAUUUGGAAUGGUCUGUUGUAUACUACCUAAUCAGAACAAGACUCAAUCCUUUCUUCAUAGCUGGUAGUCUUAAGCAUUUAUUAAUUCAUAUUUUAGUCACAUUAUGAAUUUUCUAUCACAAUAAGCAUUUAUUGAGCACUUUUUAUAGAGGGACUAUGCUAGGCUUGAAGAAUAAAAGACACAUAGGACACGGCCCUGCUUAUGUUCAGGUAGCUGUGGUCUAAACGAGGACGCACACAUAAGGUGAAGACCCCAUGAGAUGGAAUACACGGGGAUAACAAGCCUCACAGUGGACUGGUCGCUUUACCAGGGGUGAGGCGAUUCUGCCUAUAAGGUAGGGAAGGACUUUCUGAAAGGGUGACACUGAGUUCCACCUUGAAAAAUGCCUGAGAAUUCACCCAUAGACACAGUGGAAGAGGGGUGUUCCGAGGAAGGGAGAUCAAUGUGCAGAGAGACAGAAAUCCCGGUUCGCUUAUUCCCAACAAGGCAGAGAACAAACCUCUCCCAGUGAUGCCCUCCCUUGUUCCCGUCCCCAAUCUUUUGAUAAUAGUGGGAAGGGUUUCAAAGUGAGGGUUAAAAAUGGGCUGGUUUUGCCACCCCUUAGUAAGUCUUGGGCAGGAUUCUCAACUCUUGACACUCAUUAAAAUCACCUGGGAAGCUUUUGCAAAACUCCAGCAUGGUACAACUACUUUAGAAACUGGUGUUAUCCAUUAAAACUAAACAUUUGCUUAUCUUAGCAAUUCCACUCCUAGGUUUAUAGAGUAAACAGAAACACAUACGUGCCUGUGUCAAAAAACAUGUAUAGGCAUGUUCAAGACCACACUGUUUGGCCAAGUGCCCUAGUUCAUGCCUGUAAUCCCAGCAUCUUGGGAGGCCAAGGCGGGAGUAUUGCUUGAGGCCAGGAGUUUGAGACCAGCCUGGGCAUCAUAGUGAGACUCCCAUCUUGACACACACACAGUUUUUUUUUUUAAUUAGCUGGGUGUGGUGGCGUGCACCUGUAGUCCUAGCUACUUGGGAGGCUGAGGUGAUAGGAUCCCUUGAGCCCAGAAGUUCAAGGCUGAAAUGAGCUAUGAUUGUGUCACAGCACUCCAGUAUGGGCAACAGAGAGAUCCUAUGUCCAAAACAAAAACAAAAACAAAACAAAAAUACACACAUUAUUUGUAAGAUGUAAAAAAAGGGAACAAUCCAUGUGUAUCAAUAGAAUAGUUAUAUGCUGUGUAUGCGUAAUUAGUGUCUUAACCUGUUCAGGCUGCUGAAUACCUCAACUGGGUAAUUUACAAACAACAGAAUUUAUGGCUCAUGGUUCUAGAGGCUAGGUAGUCUAAGAUGCAAACGUCAACAGAUUUGAUGUCUGGUAAGGCCCUGUUCAUCAUAGAUGGCACCCUUUUGCUGUGUCCUCACAUGGCAAAAGGGACAAACAGGAUUUUUUCAAGCCUCUUUUAUGAGGGUACUAAUUCCAUUUAUGGGGGGAGAGCCUUUGUAACCCAUUCACUUCCUAAAGCCCCCACCACUUAAUACUAUUGGAGAUUAGAUUUCAAUAUAUGAAAUUUGGGUGGGACACAAACAUUCAUACCAUAGCGGGCAGACAAUGUAAUACUAUACAGCAAUGAAAAGAAAUGAACAACAGCGACCCAGAACAACAUGAAUGAACUUUUUUUUUUUUUUUGACAGAGUCUUGCUCUAUUGCCCAGGCUGGAAUGCAGUGACACAAUCUUGGCCCAACCUCCACCUCUUGGGUUCAAGCAAUUCUCCUGCCUCCGCCUUCCGAGUAGCUGGGAUUACAGGCACACGCCACCAUGCCCAGCCAAUUUUUGUAUUUCUAGUAGAGAUGGGGUUUUGCCACGUUGAUCAGGCUGGUCUUGAACUCCUGACCUCGGGUGAUCCGCCUGCCUCAGCCUCCCAAAGUGCUGGGAUUGCAGGCAUGAGCCACUGCGCCAGGCCCAUGAAUGAAUCUUAAAAAUAAAAUAGUGAAUCAAGGAAGUCAGACACAAAGAGUACAUACUCUACGGCUGCAUUUCUAUAAAUAUCAAAAAGAGGCAAAACAAAUGUGUGGUGUUAGAAAUCAGGAGAGUGUUACUAUCCUGGGGAGGAAGGAGAAGACCUGAAGGAACUUGAGGGGGGCUUUGGCCUGCUGGUAGAGCUUUUUUUUUUUUUGUCUCGAUCUAGGUGGUAGUUACAUACGGAUAUUCACGUUGUAAAAGUUUGCCAAGGCUUUAA
rnacentral:lncRNA from 10 species